rnacentral:lncRNA from 1 species
UUCUUGUGGAUUUCAGUUUGUACAUGUGGAGAGAGGAAAGGAGGCAGAUGGCAAUCAAAUUAAUCGUCCUCCUGUCAAUAAAAUCCGGUGACUAAUGGAAGCUUUGCUUCCUUAGCUUUCAUUUUGAUAAAAAAAACAAGAAAAGACGGGAUGACAAUCAACUUAAUUAAAUAAAUAUUUGAUUUAGAGAGAAUUUGAACAAAUUUAGCUCUAGUAUCCAAAUGAUGCAUUUAGUAGAGGGGGCAGCACCACAUAUCUAAAACCCAUGG